rnacentral:misc_RNA from 1 species
AUAUUUUAUAAAAGGCUAAAAUAGCCUUUUCAGACAUUUCUUUUCCAAUACAUUGUUUUACAGGAGUAUAUAUUGAGAAAACAUAGACCAGAAAACAUCAAGAAAAGCUGAUUUCUUUUUAAAACAGCAUUUUCUCUGACCGAGUGUCCUCGAAAUGUUUAAGGUCUACAAAGGAUGCACAAGGUGAUUGAAAUGAGUAGAUGGACGUGCACGAUGCUCCGAAAAGCCAGCAACAACCCAUCCAUGUUCAUUCAAUAAUGAUCCUUCCGCAGGUUCACCUACGGAAA